UCAAAACCAAACAGCCCUAAUUUAAACUUUCAUCUCCUCUCUCUCUUCAACCAUAGCCGCCAUGUCCCAUCUCCGCCAGCUCCACCAGCUCCACCAUCGGACCGCUGGUCCUCGACGCCACCGCCAUCACAUCUCCUCAGUCCCCUCACCCUUUCUACGAGAUUAUAGAGCCAUUAAUGCUCUGCAAACUAGCUUGUUCAACUUCCAAAGAGGGCAAAUGUGAGAAUCUUGUGAAUACAAGGAUGAUUCGAUGGAUAACUGCCUCACCCCAUCUUCAAAGCUCGGUUUGCUAAGAAACCUUUCGGAUUUUUGGCCCCAACAGCUCUUUCCUUUCACUUCACCUCUGAAAAAGGACCAUUUGGAGCGGAUUCGAAGACUCGACGACGACAAAUAGCCUUAGUUCGUUGUCCCGGAGAAGGUCAGUAAAUCGUCUUCUCCGCCGCUUUGUUUUCAGUUACAUAGCUUUGUUGUUUAUUUUGAUUUAUGCCUGCCUGGACUUGUUUGUCGUUACUCCCUCUGAAUUUAUGAAAUAAUGAUUAAGGGUGUUUAAAGAAACUAUUUACUAAUGGGCAGAACCCGCGAACAAAUUUGUCACUCGCACAAAUCUUUGCUAUGGAUAUUCAUUAGAAGUUGUAGUGGUUGUCUUUUAUCAGCGUGUAGAGGAUUAACAUGAAUUAUAGUUUCUGUUAAAAAGAAUAGAGAAUACUUGAUUGAGAUUUGCGACUAUGUAAUUCACUGCUUCCUUUUUUUUUGGUCUUUGUAAAAUAUUAUGCUAAGGUCAACAGUGAUUGAUCCUAGUGUUUCAACUUCAAUCAGUUUUCUUGGUCAUGUUUUGUCAAUAAGGGGUUGUUUGGUAAAGUGGGUGGGACAAGUUUUUGUGAAAAUACUUUUUUUUUUUUUGGAGAAUUGGGUGUUCAGGAUUUUAAGGUUUUUAGGUCCUUGAUCUGAUUUGUAUGUUUGGGUUGUUUGGUGAAGUGGGUAAAGACAAGUUUAAUACCAUUAUUGUAAAGAUUCUAGCUUUUGCAGAAUUGGGUAUUUGGAGUUUUGAGGUUUUGUUGAUCUGGUUUGUCUUAUUUAAGUGAUUGGUGAAGUGGUUAAGACAAGUUUUAAUUCUCAUAUUGUAAAGAUUCUAGCUUUUUAGAGAAUUGGGUAUUUGUUUUUUUUUUUUUUUUGAGGUUUUCUUGAUUUGGUUUGUCUUACUUAAGUGAUUGGUUAAGUAUGGGAAGAACUUAUCUUAAGUUGACAUUGUGCUAUGUUAGAAGGUAAAAAUGGGUUUCUUAUGUGAACUUUGAAGAAUUUAUGUUAAAUAUGUAAUCACUCUCGUCUACAUUUUUUUUUUAAUUUAUUAGAAAUAAAAUGUAGUUGUUAAAUUUUGUUGAUAAUGUUGUCUACUUGAAUCUAUUGCUGCUCUGUUGUGCCUUAAGUCUAUACAGAGGAUCAGUAAUACGGACUAAUAACACUUAGAAAAACUAUACUUGUUGAUCAUAUGAACAACCGUACCGCUGGUUUAAGUUCUGUUUUAAAAUUCCUAAAAAAUGGACUGCUUCGAAGUGUACUGCAUGAGGGUCAGGUCACUGUGCUUCCGUGGACAUAUACUAGGUAGUUUUGGUUUGCUUACGUUCACUCAUGAGAAUUAAUAGAUUAACCUGAAGGUUCAAACUUGGUAAAGGACAUUAGGAGGUAAUCUAUUGUCCCUUUUUUGGUAAAACUUCCCUGUUGAAUGUUACUACUCGUUCAAGUUCUCUAAAAAAAAAAAAAAAAAACUGGAAUCUGUAUUUUCUUUUAGAUAAAUUCCGAGUGUUCAAAUGGCCAUGUUCUCUUAGUCUCUGAAAUGGUUAAAACUCAUCCCAACGUACCGGUUGCGCUUAAAAUAGGUUAAUUAGCAUGUAAAUGUACCUCUCUUGUGUGGUUAAAUUCUUGCUUUAAAAAACCAUCUUUUACUUCAAAAGCGAUGUGUUAGUCUAGCUAAGAAAAUAAAUUGUUAGGUGUAUCUUUUCUAGAAUAUGGUCAUCUCGUUUGUAAGAAUCUUUAAUAUCUAUGUUGCACAUCUAGAACAAACUUACACUUGAAAACGAGCCUUCGGUCUAUCCUUUGAUAUUGUUUCCUGCUCAAAUCAUGACUUGGGGAAUUUUGCUUAUCUAAGCAUGAAAGCCAAACUUGUGUUGAGAAUCUGAAAAUAAUGGCUGUCAACUCUUUCUCUAGAAAAACCUUUGCGUAACGAGUACGUGCCAAACAUAAUUUCUAUGCUAAAAUCUGGUUCAGCAUGUUGUGUGUUCCGGUAUGUUUUAUGGGUUAGAAAUAAAGUCCUAGGCUUUGAAAUUUUACAUUAACAGCGGGCCAUUACAUAUUCAAGUUAGAUCACAUGUGUUAGCUUUUCUUACGGGUUAGGCAUGCUUUCACCCUUCCUUCUUUGUUGUGAUUCAUACUGGCUUUGCUCUAAGUUUAGUUGGUCUAUAGUGUUAUACUCAGUCGGAAUGGAUCCCUAGCAUUGUUGCAAAUAAAUUGAGGUGUUAACUGGGUGUGAGAAGAAGAGUCCUUACUUAAAUGAAUCUGUCCCAAAGGGGAAAUCCAAACCUCCCUUUUCUCAAAACUAUCUGUUGCCAUACAUGCUUUAACUGAAUGAAAUGUUCAAAAUUGGCUACUGAUUUUUUUUUUCAAAUAAUUGGUUCAACUCUAGUAUUCCUUAUAUCUUUGAGAAAUAUUUUGAAUGAUCCAAUCUAACUCUUUAAAGUUGGUUUAAGUUCACGAGUUUGCUAAAUAUGUCAUCUUCUAGUUUUGCGUCUUUGAAGCUCCAUUUGUUUAGAAAUAUGACUACAAGAUUCUAGAUGAACAGUGGUUACUCUAAAUCAUUGGCUGCAUAUCCAGUUCAAUUAUCAUUUUAUUUCUUAGUUUGGUUUGUAUAAAUGUCCUCUACAAUUUGUUGGAUGUUAUGCCUAAGCUAUUAAGUACUUCUACCUCAUUAUAGAUGCCGCGUUUUUUUUUUUUUUUUUUCUCAUAUUUUGCCGCUUAUUUGUCUUGUUAUAUGCACCUAAUCCUUUUCUUUUCUUUCUUUUCACAUGAACACCAUGGGAGUUUGUUGGAGUUGUGGCUCAACUCUAAUUCUGCCCAGGUCAUAGGAGCAGCCAGUAGCAGAUUUAUUUGCUCGUGUCUAGUCGUCCUCUAUUUUCGCGUCAAGAGAAUCCAGCGUUUCCUUCCUUCCUCUCCUCAGAAUUUUAUCUUUUGUAUCAAUAUAUAUCCUUUGACUAAUGAUGAUACUAAUUUGGUGUUGUAUUUGUGCAUUUGUUGUUCUUGAUGGGGUUCGUAAGAACCAAUUCAGACACGAUAGUGAGACAUAAGUCAUUUUUCUCCCCCCUCUCGUUAGGUAUUGAAUUCGGUAUAGGUACACUUAAGAGUGAGGGCAUUUGUUAAACGAUUUCCGGUUACCACUUGA